rnacentral:rRNA from 1 species
UACGUAGGGAGCAAGCGUUGUCCGGAAUCAUUGGGCGUAAAGCGCGCGUAGGCGGCCCCGUAAGUCCGCUGUGAAAGUCAAAGGCUCAACCUUUGAAAGCCGGUGGAUACUGUAGGGCUAGAGUACGGAAGAGGCGAGUGGAAUUCCUGGUGUAGCGGUGGAAUGCGCAGAUAUCAGGAGGAACACCAAUAGCGAAGGCAGCUCGCUGGGACGUUACUGACGCUGAGGCGCGAAAGCGUGGGGAGCGAACAGG